rnacentral:rRNA from 1 species
CGUGUAGGCGGUCAGGUAAGUGGGAUGUGAAAGCCCUCGGCUCACCCGAGGAUCUGCAUCUCAAACUGCCUGGCUUGAGUAUGGGAGAGGAUGAGGGAAUUCCUGGUGUAGCGGUGAAAUGCGUAGAUAUCAGGAGGAACACCGGUGGCGAAGGCGCUCAUCUGGCCCAAUACUGACGCUGAGGCGCGAAAGCUAGGGGAGCAAACGGGAUUAGAUACCCCGGUAGUCCUAGCCGUAAACGGUGAUCACUAGGUGUUGGAGGCAUCGACCCCUCCAGUGCCGCAGCUAACGCAUUAAGUGAUCCGCCUGGGGAGUACGGCCGCAAGGUUGAA